rnacentral:rRNA from 1 species
CAGUAGCCGCGGUAAUACGAGGGGGGCAAGCGUUGUUCGGAUUUAUUGGGCGUAAAGGGUGCGUAGGCGGAUUCUUAAGUCAGAGGUGAAAUCCCAAGGCUCAACCUUGGGGCUGCGUUUGAUACUUGGUUGCUUGAGUGGGGAAGAGGGUCGUGGAAUUCCCAGUGUAGAGGUGAAAUUCGUAGAUAUUGGGAAGAACAUCAGUGGCGAAGGCGGCCAUCUGGGACAACACUGACGCUGAGGCACGAAAGCGUGGGGAGCAAACAGGAUUAGAUACCCCCGUAGUCCCUGUCUCUUAUAA